ACGUAAACCAACCAAUGAUAUUACUGUAUUUAGUGGAGGCGGAAGUUCCGGCUUGUCGUAUAAACUGAGGCCUCCUCUCCAUGUGGUUUUGAGGAGCAUUUUUUGGAGGUUGAAUUGUAACAUCGCUGUAAGACAGAAUGGCUGAGAAUGACGUUGACAAUGAGCUGCUGGACUAUGAAGAGGAUGAGGAGCCUCAGGGAGCCCCGGAGACUACUGCCCCAGCAGGCAAGAAGGAGGUGAAGGGCUCCUAUGUCUCCAUCCACAGCUCUGGCUUCAGAGACUUCCUGCUCAAACCAGAGCUGCUCCGCGCUAUUGUCGACUGUGGCUUUGAGCAUCCAUCUGAAGUUCAACAUGAGUGCAUCCCUCAGGCCAUCCUUGGCAUGGACAUCCUUUGCCAGGCCAAGUCUGGUAUGGGCAAAACGGCAGUGUUUGUUCUUGCCACACUACAGCAGAUUGAGCCUGUGGAUGGACAGGUGUCAGUUCUAGUAAUGUGCCACACGCGAGAGCUGGCCUUCCAGAUCAGUAAAGAGUACGAGCGUUUCUCCAAGUACAUGCCCACAGUAAAGGCAGCCGUGUUCUUCGGGGGCCUGUCUAUCAAGAAGGAUGAGGAUGUGCUGAAGAAGAACUGCCCUCACAUUGUGGUGGGAACCCCUGGCCGAAUCCUGGCCCUCAUCCGCAACAAGACCCUCAACCUAAAGAACGUCAAGCACUUUGUCCUGGAUGAGUGUGACAAGAUGCUGGAGCAGUUGGACAUGAGGCGUGACGUACAGGACAUCUUCAGGCUAACACCACAUGAGAAGCAGUGCAUGAUGUUCAGUGCCACCCUCAGCAAGGAGAUUCGACCGGUCUGCCGCAAGUUCAUGCAGGAUCCCAUGGAGGUGUUUGUAGAUGAUGAGACCAAGCUGACGCUGCACGGUCUGCAGCAGUACUACUGCAAGCUGAAGGACAGCGAGAAGAACCGCAAGCUCUUUGACCUGCUUGAUGUGCUGGAGUUCAACCAGGUGGUGAUCUUUGUCAAGUCAGUGCAGCGCUGUGUGGCGCUCUCUCAGCUACUGGUGGAACAGAACUUCCCUGCCAUUGCCAUCCACAGGGGCAUGGCUCAGGAGGAGAGGCUGUCCCGUUACCAGCAGUUCAAGGACUUCCAAAGGCGGAUCUUGGUGGCCACCAACCUGUUUGGCCGAGGGAUGGAUAUCGAGCGAGUCAAUAUUGUCUUCAAUUACGACAUGCCUGAGGACUCGGACACCUACUUACACAGGGUGAGUCACAUAACUGAAGGAGCCUCAAACACCGGUGUUCUGGUUGUGAAUGGUAUUUCCAAAUACCGAUUGCAUCUGACGAUUUUAUCAACUUGUCAUUGGCCUCUAGAUCUCCCUCCAAAGGCUCAUUCUUUGAGUUGUCACUCCCAUUUGACCCUUUUGCCCUUCAGGUGGCCCGUGCUGGGCGGUUUGGAACCAAGGGUCUGGCUGUGACCUUUGUGUCAGACGAGACCGAUGCCAAGACUUUGAAUGACGUGCAGGACCGCUUUGAGGUCAAUGUGGCCGAGCUGCCAGAAGAGAUCGACAUCUCCACUUACAUUGAGCAGUCCAGAUGAGUCCUCCAUCCCAGAAGAAAUGUCCGCUAACCCUGAAUCUGUCCUUGUUUGGAUGAAAAACCUUCCUCGCUGUUAUAUUU